rnacentral:rRNA from 1 species
GUCGAGAAUCUUUCACAAUGGGGGCAACCCUGAUGGAGCGACGCCGCGUGGAGGAUAAGGUCUUCGGAUUGUAAACUCCUGUCAUGCGUGAACAAGGUUGCUUGGAUAAUACCUGAGCAAAUUGAUGGUAGCGCAAGAGGAAGAGACGGCUAACUCUGUGCCAGCAGCCGCGGUAAUACAGAGGUCUCAAGCGUUGUUCGGAAUCACUGGGCGUAAAGGGUGCGUAGGUGGCGUGGCAAGUCAGAUGUGAAAGCCCGGGGCUCAACCUCGGAACUGCAUGCGAUACUGCCAUGCUAGAGUACUGGAGGGGUGACUAGAAUUCUCGGUGUAGCAGUGAAAUGCGUAGAUAUCGAGAGGAAUACCAAAGGCGUAGGCAGGUCACUGGACAGUUACUGACACUGAGGCACGAAGGCCAGGGGAGCGAACGGGAUUAGAUACCCUUGUAGUCC